UUGGUUAUGCUAAUAAGAGCGUAUGGUGGAUGCCUUGGCACUAAGAGCCGAUGAAAGACGUGAUAAGCUGCGAAAAGCUUCGGGGAGGAGCAAAUAUCCAUUGAUCCGGAGAUUUCUGAAUGGGGAAACCUACUUGAGAAGACCUCAAGUAUCCACAGCCCAAUCCAUAAGCUGUGGAAGGGAACCCGGUGAACUGAAACAUCUAAGUAGCCGGAGGAAGAGAAAACAACAUGUGAUUCCGUAAGUAGCGGCGAGCGAACGCGGAAGAGCCCAAACCGGAGUGCGUGCACUCCGGGGUUCGGACUGCAGAAUCGAUGAGUGAGCCUAGUAGAAUGGUUUUGGGAAAGCCAGCCAGAGAGGGUGAAAGCCCCGUACACGAAAGGCGAGCGAGCGAAGCAGGAUCCAGAGUACCACGAGACACGUGAAACCUUGUGGGAAUGAGCGGGGACCACCCCGUAAGGCUAAAUACUCCUUAGUGACCGAUAGCGCAUAGUACUGUGAAGGAAAGGUGAAAAGGACCCCGGGAGGGGAGUGAAAGAGAACCUGAAACCAUAUGUUUACAAGCUGUGGAACAUCUUUAUAGGAUGAACCGCGUACUUUUUGUAGAACGGUCCGGCGAGUUACGCUGGCUGGCGAGGUUAAGGGCUGAAGGCCUGGAGCCGAAGGGAAACCAAGUCUGAACAGGGCGAAAUAGUCAGUCGGAGUAGACCCGAAACCGGGUGAUCUAUCCAUGUCCAGGUUGAAGUUGCCGUAAAAGGCAAUGGAGGACCGAACCCACAUCCGUUGAAAAGGGUGGGGAUGAG
rnacentral:rRNA from 1 species